UGGAGGUUCCCAGGCCAGGGGUCCAAUAGACACUCCAGCUGCUGGCCUACACCACAGCCACAGCAACGCAGGAUCCGAGCUGACUCUGGGACCCACACCGCAGCUCAUGGCAGACCCUUAACCCACUGAGCGAGGCCAGGUAUGAACCUGCAACCCCGUGGCUCCUGGUCGGAUUUGUUUCUGCUGCGCCCCCGGCGGGAACUCCAGGAAGCACUUCUAAUGUCAUGCACAGCAGUUGGCUGCUGGUUGUAGUGUCACUGAGCUGAGCCAAAACCUACUUUCUGGGAGGCUGGCCUUGGCGCCCGAGGCCGUACCCCCUGUACCCUGACGUCUUUGCAGCACUGCUCUUACCGGCUCAUUGUGCGGGGAUGGAUUGAGGGUAAGAGUAAAUGCAUUACUGUAUGGGGACACCCACGUGGUCGUCUCAGGCCUGCGGGUUAUUUCCUGCUGAGAACCAUCAAGGCCUUCAAAGGCCCCGGAAGAAACUGUGACUUCUCCCCCAGGGCCUGAAGCGGUUAGAUAGAGGGCUGGUUCCGGGAACGGGCUGUCAGCAGCUGUCUGUCAAAAAUACGCGCAGGUGUCUCGGGGAAGGAAGCGGAAGCUCGGCGGGGCCUGGAGAGCAGCGUUCCCCGCGGCCCAUUGUCUCCGCAAACCUUUAUUGACAAAACCUUCGCUUUUGCAGCUUUUCCCUCUCCCUGCGAAUCACCGUCCUCCUCCUCCUCCAAGUCCCAACCACCACCCUCACCGGCUCUUGUGGCUUUAGCUGAAAAUGGUGUUUAGGGUGAGGGUUUUGGCCUCGUGGGUGAGUCACUCAGCUCUUCCGGUCUCUAUUCACCUUGAUUCGUUUUGUCCUGUUAAUCGGUCCCCUGCCGGUGUAAUCACAGCCCAGCUGCUCCAAGGGGAGAGGACAGUUUCGAGAAGCCUUUUGUGUUGCCAGUACUCUGCCUCUGGGGCAUCCUGGUCACCUGUGGAGGUGUUUCCUGGUUGGCUUUUUUUUUUCUUCCUUUUUUACAGCCACAGCCACAGCCACAACGGAUCACCAUCUGGGACCUUCACCAUCUGGGACCUACACCGCAGCUUGCAGCAAUGCUAGAUCCUCAACCCACUGAGUGAGGCCAGGGAUUGAACCCGCAACCUCCUGGAGACAAUGCUGGGGACUUAGCCUGCUGAGCCACAGCCGGAGCUCCCAUCUCCUGGUAAUAAAGAAGAAAGGAGAACAGCCAGAACGAAGGCGCCCCAGCCCUUGUGAGCCAAGCAGGAGAAAAUUUUGCUUUUUCAGUUACCAUGGAGACCGGACGUACCCGUUCCCCUGAGCCGUCUGGAAUACUGGACAAAAACGCACGAAACAAGGGUUCUGAUGUCACCUCCCUCCUUCCCCUCAUCCCAUCCCUGUGCCUCCCUUCACUCCGUGAAGCCUUUGAAGAAUGUCAUCCUGUUCGUCUCGUUAGAACGAAACCUCCUCGAA